ACCCUUUAAUGUUUGAUGUUCUAACGUGGACCCGUGAUCCGGGUUGCGGACAGUGUCUGGUGGGUAGUUUGACUGGGGCGGUCUCCUCCUAAAGAGUAACGGAGGAGCACGAAGGUUGGCUAAUCCUGGUCGGACAUCAGGAGGUUAGUGCAAUGGCAUAAGCCAGCUUGACUGCGAGCGUGACGGCGCGAGCAGGUGCGAAAGCAGGUCAUAGUGAUCCGGUGGUUCUGAAUGGAAGGGCCAUCGCUCAACGGAUAAAAGGUACUCCGGGGAUAACAGGCUGAUACCGCCCAAGAGUUCAUAUCGACGGCGGUGUUUGGCACCUCGAUGUCGGCUCAUCACAUCCUGGGGCUGAAGUAGGUCCCAAGGGUAUGGCUGUUCGCCAUUUAAAGUGGUACGCGAGCUGGGUUUAGAACGUCGUGAGACAGUUCGGUCCCUAUCUGCCGUGGGCGCUGGAGAACUGAGGGGGGCUGCUCCUAGUACGAGAGGACCGGAGUGGACGCAUCACUGGUGUUCGGGUUGUCAUGCCAAUGGCACUGCCCGGUAGCUAAAUGCGGAAGAGAUAAGUGCUGAAAGCAUCUAAGCACGAAACUUGCCCCGAGAUGAGUUCUCCCUGAGACUUAAAGUCUCCUGAAGGAACGUUGAAGACGAC
rnacentral:rRNA from 2 species